UGGAUGUUAAAGGUUGCCCCAUAAAACUGUGAUGUUAACAGCCUUGCUGUUGAAACAUUGAAUUCCGUGUUUACAGUGGAAGUGGUGUGGUGGGUGGGGUACAUGAAAUCUGAAUUCAAAGUGUAUUCAGGAAUUGUGCCAGACACUGGAUUUGUUUGUGAGGAGGAACAUCAUGGCCUCGCAGCUUCUGGACAAGAUGUUUUCGCGCAGAGUGGUUUGUGUAACGUUUGCCAUCUGGAAGAUUUGCUGCCACCGCCAUGGUUUUGAGCAUCUUUCCUAAUUUGACCUCUCCAAGGCGUUGUCUCAAAAACCACUGACUGGAGCAACCCUCUCUGGUGCGCGGCGCUAGGGAACAUGGAGUGUGUGGACCAAGGACAGCAGUUUCCCACAUCUGGUCUAUGUCCUCAUCAGUUAGAGGUUCAGCUUCCCUUGGGCGGUUGCCUUGGCCCUGUAUAGAGCAAUGUUCAACUGUUCGAUAAUGUAAAGGUUUCACGAGUCAACGCAAAGUCUGUUCCGGAACCGGACAUAAUGCUGUGUGCAAAAAGAUGACGACGGAAGUACCGAUCCAGCGAACUUAAAAAGCCUCUCAAUGAACUUGGUUCAUAGUCCGACCCAUCCGAUUUAGUUAGAGACAGGAUGAAUCUUGCCACAUAGUGGUCUAACUGAUCAACGGGAAUUUCAUGUAUUUGCUUUGUUUCGCCUUGUUGUGCAAGAUAUCUGCGAAAUUUGUUCAUAUCAGCAAAUGUUUUUUUGCUGUGUUUUUAUUUACUUGG